GGGAUCCCCUGGAGCAUCAGUCUGAACAUACGUGUGGUGUCCUCAGAAGACCCCCAGGGAAGAUGUAGAGGGUCCACGUUGCCAGCCCCUGGGAAUCACAGCAUUGCGCAUGUGCAAAAUGGGAACGCAUGCCUCCAGGAUGACCCCGGAACCAGGAAUCUUCAGCUGACGGAACUUAAAGAACAGAAAUGUUGCCAGCGGAGCCCUUUACGAAACGAGAAGUCCUUCAAUCAGGAGACUCUGGCUUCCAGCAGUAGCUUAUUUGGACUGAUUCGAGACUAGCCAAUCAGCUUCCAAGUCUGAAGUUCCCUUAACCCGUUAAAUUUCACCCAGAAGCCUGGAUUGAGGGGAGAGAUUUGAGUCCUGCUUCCUGUUUCCUUGCAGGUCGACCUCGCAGUGAAGCUCUUUCUUUCCUCAAAAGCUGGUGCCAUAGUGUCAGCUCCUACGUGCAUCAGGCAGCCAGCACUUGCUGGGUAACAGAGGUAUCUUCUAUAAAGACCUUCAAGUGACAUCUUGCAUACAGAUCUUAGUUCCCCAAUGAGGUAUCGAACCUAUGCCCCCUGCAGUGGAAGCGUGGAGUCUUAACCACUGGGCUGCCAGGGAAGAACCCUGUAUUUGGUUUUGAUUGCCCAGCGUCAAGAAAAUUUGGAAUCAUAGCCCUCACUUUACAGAUGGGAAGACUGAGGCCCAGCCACCAGAGGCAGAACCUUGGGGCUUGCCUACCAGUUCCCCAGGGCCUGUCGCGUCGGUGGUGGACACCAAGACUGGUGCAGAAGAGAAGCCUUUGGUACCUGCCUUGAGGAGGAGCCUGGACCCUCCUUGCCACCCUACCCCACCCACCCUCCAUCACCGUGGCAAC